rnacentral:lncRNA from 1 species
CGUAUGAGCUGAAGAAAUAAGGACACGUGGUACACUAGGAGUCGGCAAUAAGGCGCUUGAAGGUCAAAAGCGUUUAGACGGGAACGGUUGAGAAGUGGGGCGUAACUUCCAUGUGAAGUGGGGCAUAACUUUCAUGUGAAGUGGGACGUAACUUCCAUGAGAAAUGGGGCAUAACUUCCACGAUCAUGGUUACAACCACUUCCCCAACCAACCAAAAAUGUGGGCUGAGAAGACAUCACUAUAAAUAGUAAAGACAUCACUAUAAAUAGUAACUUCAAAGCCUGUAAUAAAGGUCUUUUCCCCUGAGAACAAAAGACCACCCUUAUUUCCUCUGCAUUUUAUCGCUUUUCUAUGAGUAGUCUAAAUGUAAUCUUUUUCUUUUCCGCAUUUACUGCUUUCCUAGGAGUAAUUCGCUAAGUAGAACCCUGAAGUCUGUUUGCCUCACGGGUAUCACUCCGUUGUAGACUAUAUUUGCAAAGUCUGUCUGCACCAUGGGCAUCACUCUAUUGUAAACUAUAUUUGCAGA